UCCUGUAUCUGUCAAAAUGUAACACCAGUAACAACCAUUUUAGUUUGAUUUGUGUUUAUUCCAGACUAAUUCUUCAAAGAAUGAAUGAUCAUCAUCAUCCUUAUAUUGGAAUAAAAGGAAGGAAGUGACAGCUACAGUCAUGGUAAAAGUAAAUGCAGUUAGAAGACCUCUGAUAUCACCUGAAGAGCCUGCCUUCUCAAGAUACUGUAUCAAAUAAAAAUAACAAGGACUGCUAAAAAGACUUUUUAUAACUUGCAAAUGUCCAGUCUGUGACAUAACUGUCUGAUCCAGGUAAUUUUGAAAUGUAGUAUGUCAUUGUGAAGGCAAAAUGUUUAUGAAAAUAGUGUGUGUGUUUUCCAAAUAGAGAGGCUGAAAGUCGUGAAUCAUCAAUUAGUGUUUUUGGAAUAACUUAUGGACAUCUGAAUAGUGAAGAUCUGUCCCUUUUUUGGAUUGCCACAGACCAAAAUACUGAUUGGUGGCUUUGACAUAAAUAGAAGAACUCACACUGGACACCCUGAAGAUGGAAUUAUGUUGUUUGCAUUAAUGUUUCUUUUUCAGAUUUAUG
rnacentral:lncRNA from 1 species